GCUGUUGACACGAGCUUGUUUGCCAAGACGCCACAGCCUCCACGGCCUGGUCCAUCUCACAAUCGUCAUGGACCUUCAUGGCAUCAGGCAUUGCCUCAACAUCACUCUGGGCCUAGCAGCAGCAGCACCCCUGCCCGGUCUGUUAUGGAUAUCCAAAUGUGGCGGAGGGUCCGCCGGUGGUUGUGCUGCUGCGGCAGCACUGAGGAGGAGGAAGAGGACAACGUUGAGCUGGAGGAGGAGGAGAAGAACGUCCAGCUGGAGGCGGAGGGCGCCCCUCCAGACCCAGAGGCGGUCAUGCAGCAGGAGUGGGAGGAGUUCGUGCAAGAGUUCUAUGCCGCAUAUAGCAGACUGGC